GUUAAUAGGAUCAAACUUUACAGUGAGUCUUUGGCAAGAUAUGGCAAAAGCCCUUACCUUUACCCACUGUAUGGCCUCGGAGAACUGCCACAGGGGUUUGCAAGGUUAAGUGCUAUUUAUGAAGGUACCUACAUGCUGAAUAAACCAAUUGAAGAAAUCAUUGUACAGAAUGGAAAAGUGGUUGAUGUAAAGUCUGAAGGAGAGAUUGCUCGCUGUAAGCAGCUCAUCUGUGACCCUAGCUAUGUAAAAGAUAGGGUAGAAAAGGUGGGUGAUCAGAGUUAUUUGCAUCCUCAGCCACCCCAUCAAGAACACCACCGAUGCCAACUCCUGCCAGAUCAUUAUUUCGCAGAACCAGGUCAAUCGAAAGUCAGAUAUCUACAUCUGCAUGAUUUCCUCUGCACACAACGUGGCGGCACAAGGGAAGUAUACCGCCAUAAUCAGCACAACCGUGGAGACCAAGGAGCCUGAGAAGGAAAUCAAACCAGCUUUGGAGCUCAUAGAACCAAUUGAACAGAAGUUUGUCAGCAUCAGUGACCUCCUUGUACCUAAAGACUUGGGAACAGAAAGUCAGAUCUUUCUAUAUUUCCUGCACAUAUGAUGCUAUAACUCACUUUGAAACAACCUGUGAUGACAAUAAAGACAUCUAUAAGAGGAUGACAGGAUCAGAGUAUGACUUUCAGGAAAUGAAGUGGAAGAAAAACGACAUCUACGGGGAGGACUAACAGCAGCAUAUGCUGUGAUCUCUUUAGGACAGAUUUAAAAUUUGGCAAGUAACGCGUUAUAUAAAAUAAGUCUUGUAAGGUCUGCUUUUGUAAUCAGAAUGGAGAGAGAUCUGUGCCAGUGACUAUUCCUCCCCUCCAUCUUUCUAAUAUCAUGUAUUAACUUGUUUUCAUGGAGUGGCUAUUCAGAAUUGGCAGGUUACCACAUUCUGUUCAAUUUAACCAAAUUGGCUUUUUUUCUAGCAAAGGAUCAGUUUCAAAUAAACAUUGCAAUACUGAUACUGAUACAGAGAAUUUUGAGACAGAAAAAAAAAAAAAAAGAAAAAAAACCAUUCUGGAAUUAGAAAGUAGUAGAGGUUCCAC